CCGCCGGCGACCGGCGCACGGGUGAGUAACACGUAUGCAACCUGCCGUGACAGAUGGAUAACCGGGAGAAAUCCCGCCUAAUACAGCAUGACGCCGGGAAGGGACAUCCCCUUUUCCGGCCAAAGGGGGCGACUCCGGUCACGGAUGGGCAUGCGGCGCAUUAGGUAGUUGGUGGGGGCAACGGCCCACCAAGCCGACGAUGCGUAGGGGUUCUGAGAGGAAGGUCCCCCACAUUGGAACUGAGACACGGUCCAAACUCCUACGGAAGGCAGCAG
rnacentral:rRNA from 1 species